rnacentral:rRNA from 1 species
GCAGGGGAUAACAUUUGGAAACAAGUGCUAAUACCGUAUAACACUAACAACCGCAUGGUUGUUAGUUGAAAGGUGGUUCUGCUAUCACUAAGAGAUGGACCCGCGGUGCAUUAGCUAGUUGGUAAGGUAAUGGCUUACCAAGGCGAUGAUGCGUAGCCGAGUUGAGAGACUGAUCGGCCACAAUGGGACUGAGACACGGCCCAUACUUCUACGGGAGGCAGCAGUAGGGAAUCUUCCACAAUGGGCGCAAGCCUGAUGGAGCAACGCCGCGUGUGUGAUGAAGGGUUUCGGCUCGUAAAACACUGUUAUAAGAGAAGAACGACAUUGAGAGUAACUGUUCAGUGUGUGACGGUAUCUUAUCAGAAAGGAACGGCUAAAUACGUGCCAGCAGCCGCGGUAAUACGUAUGUUCCAAGCGUUAUCCGGAUUUAUUGGGCGUAAAGCGAGCGCAGACGGUUAUUUAAGUCUGAAGUGAAAGCCCUCAGCUCAACUGAGGAAGGGCUUUGGAAACUGGAUAACUUGAGUGCAGUAGAGGAAAGUGGAACUCCAUGUGUAGCGGUGAAAUGCGUAGAUAUAUGGAAGAACACCGGUGGC